UUGGAGGGCAAGUCUGGUGCCAGCAGCCGCGGUGAUUCCAGCUCCAAUAGCGUAUAUUAAAGUUGUUGCAGUUAAAAAGCUCGUAGUUGAAUUUCGGGAUCAAUGUUUCGGUCAUGCCGUUGGUAUGUACUGAUAUUAUUGGUUUCUCACCUUCUAAAGAACCGUAAUGCCAUUAAUUUGGUGUCACGGGGAAUUAGGACUGUUACCUUGAAAAAAUUAGAGUGUUUAAAGCAGGCUCACGCUUGAAUACAUUAGCAUGGAAUAAUGAAAUAGGACAUCCGAUUCUAUUUUGUUGGUUUCUAGGAUCGAUGUAAUGAUUAAUAGGGAUAGUUGGGGGCAUUAGUAUUCAAUUGUCAGAGGUGAAAUUCUUGGAUUUAUUGAAGACUAACUACUGCGAAAGCAUUUGCCAAGGAUGUUUUCAUUAAUCAAGAACGAAAGUUAGGGGAUCGAAGGCGAUCAGAUACCGUCGUAGUCUUAACCAUAAACUAUGCCGACUAGGGAUCGGAUGAUGUUAAUUUUUUAAUGACUCAUUCGGCACCUUACGGGAAACCAAAG
rnacentral:rRNA from 1 species